AGGCGAAGACCGGAGAAGUGAGGCCCC
rnacentral:sRNA from 1 species